CGACGCCAUUUUAUCUUCAUGCGACCAAGACGGUUUACAGUCUUAAGUUCGUGAGGUGUAGAGAUGCAACGUUAGCCUGCGUGAAAGUUUCUAAUGCGGGCUCGAUUUCCUGAAAUAGGAUCCUCUCUCCUUCAUUCCCGCCGAGGUUUUACUACGA